UACGUAGGGGGCAAGCGUUGUCCGGAAUCAUUGGGCGUAAAGCGCGUGUAGGCGGCUCGGUAAGUCUGCUGUGAAAGUCCAGGGCUCAACCCUGGGAUGCCGGUGGAUACUGUCGAGCUCGAGUCCGGAAGAGGCGAGUGGAAUUCCUGGUGUAGCGGUGAAAUGCGCAGAUAUCGGGAGGAACACCUAUGGCGAAGGCAGCUCGCUGGGACGGCACUGACGCUGAGACGCGAAAGCGUGGGGAGCAAACGGG
rnacentral:rRNA from 1 species